rfam:Brassica oleracea var. oleracea cultivar TO1000 chromosome C2, whole genome shotgun sequence
GGAAUAUAAGAACCCGUCUCUUAAUUUUUAACUAAAAAAGUUAUGAACCGGUUCUUAAAUAAGAUUAAGAACCGGUUCAUAGUUUUUUUAGUUAAAAGUUAAGAGACAGAUUCUUAUAUUCC